rnacentral:rRNA from 1 species
UGAGGAAUAUUGGUCAAUGGGCGAGAGCCUGAACCAGCCACGUCGCGUGAAGGAAGACUGACCUUACGGUUUGUAAACUUCUUUUGUAGAGGGGUAAUGGCAGAUACGUGUAUUUGCGUGAAAGUACUCUACGAAUAAGCAUCGGCUAACUCCGUGCCAGCAGCCGCGGUAAUACGGGGGAUGCGAGCGUUAUCCGGAAUUAUUGGGUUUAAAGGGUGCGCAGGUGGCUAAUCAGGUCAGUGGUGAAAAGCUAUGGCUCAACCAUGGUCUUGCCAUUGAAACCGUAUAGCUAGAGAGGAGACGAGGUAGGCGGAAUGUGUGGUGUAGCGGUGAAAUGCAUCGAUAUCACACAGAACUCCGAUUGCGAAGGCAGCUUACCAGGCUUUAUCUGACACUUAGGCACGACAGCGUGGGGAUCAAACAGG